CUACGUCACAUCCGGGCAGAAAUUUCAGUUGAACACAGCGAGGGGACGGCGCUGCAGAGACUGGAGACGUUUCUGUGCCACAGACUAAACAUGACGAGGAGUGCUGAGCUGAGUCCAGGCCCGGCUGUACUCACAGCUCCUGACUGACACCUGAUCCUCACGUGGGAGUCUGACAAAACACUGAAGAUUCAGUGAUGGACUGGAGACCUGAACAAGGUGACCCCACCAUGUCACCCCCCAACCCCGUGAAGGAUAAGUGGGUGUAACGGAUGGAUGGGAGGCGGCUUCCAGACCCCUGCGGAGGAGGAGGAGCUGGGAGUCAGCUGACAUCGACAUGGAGGGAUCACAGGAAAUAAAAGCACAGAAGAAGAAAUGUGUUGAAUGGUCCAGACCCAAACCAAAGCCCCAGGCCGCUGAAGUUCAUCCUGGUCUCACUCACAUGAGCUCCCAGGUGUCACUGCGCAUCAGUAAUUUAUCUAUAGAAGAAGAAACCUGCAGCUUGUGGAGUGAAGUGGGUGCAUUAGUUUUUCUGACAAUAAAAAUAAUAAAACUAUUACUAACCCCUACUGGGGAAUAGUAGGAACAACAUCUGCAGAUUUCUCACAUCAUCCCUUUGCAAUCCUUGAAUUACUGAAACGUUUCUCACCCUAAAGUAAUUAGUGGUUGUAGCCAUGUUUUUCUAGACAAAAACCAAGGUUACCAGCUGUGGCCCUCUGCAUCAUGUCCCUUAUACUUUCAUCAUUAGUCUUUGUAAAGAUAUGAAAGACUUGAAAUAAACUUGAUCUGAACAUA